AGAGCUUUUCAACCUUUUGGGGAAGCUCAAGUGUAGUGUGUGUUCUUACCAGUUUCUUAUCUGAUAGGUGGCUGCAAGGAUUCGCUGUUAAAUAGCAUUGCAGAGACAGGAGAUGCUUUGGGAGCUUGCUGCAGCCGCUUUGCAUGUGGCCCUGGUAUCGCAAUACCUCCUGGUGUGCUGUUAACCCUGC
rfam:Aptenodytes forsteri contig48131, whole genome shotgun sequence.